GACGAACGCUGGCGGCAUGCCUAAUACAUGCAAGUCGAACGAACCAUCCUGAAGAUUGAAGCUUGCUUCAUGAUUCAGACCUUGGUGAGUGGCGGACGGGUGAGUAACACGUGGGUAACCUGCCCAAAAGUGGGGGAUAACAUCUGGAAACAGGUGCUAAUACCGCAUAACGACUACUUUCUCAUGAUCGUAGCUUGAAAGAUGGCUCUGCUAUCGCUUUUGGAUGGACCCGCGGCGUAUUAGCUAGUUGGUGAGGUAAUAGCUCACCAAGGCAAUGAUACGUAGCCGACCUGAGAGGGUAAUCGGCCACAUUGGGACUGAGACACGGCCCAAACUCCUACGGGAGGCAGCAGUAGGGAAUCUUCCACAAUGGGCGAAAGCCUGAUGGAGCAAUGCCGCGUGAGUGAAGAAGGUUUUCGGAUCGUAAAACUCUGUUGUUGAAGAAGAACAUGCGUGAGAGUAACUGUUCACGUACUGACGGUAUUCAACCAGAAAGCCACGGCUAACUACGUGCCAGCAGCCGCGGUAAUACGUAGGUGGCAAGCGUUGUCCGGAUUUAUUGGGCGUAAAGAGAAUGUAGGCGGUUUAUUAAGUUUGAAGUGAAAGCCCUCGGCUCAACCGAGGAAGUGCUUCGAAAACUGGUAAACUUGAGUGCAGAAGAGGAAAGUGGAACUCCAUGUGUAGCGGUGGAAUGCGUAGAUAUAUGGAAGAACACCAGUGGCGAAGGCGGCCUUCGGGUCUGUAACUGACGCUGAGAUUCGAAAGCAUGGGUAGCAAACAGGAUUAGAUACCCUGGUAGUCCAUGCCGUAAACGAUGAGUGCUAAGUGUUGGAGGGUUUCCGCCCUUCAGUGCUGCAGCUAACGCAUUAAGCACUCCGCCUGGGGAGUACGAUCGCAAGAUUGAAACUCAAAGGAAUUGACGGGGGCCCGCACAAGCGGUGGAGCAUGUGGUUUAAUUCGAAGCAACGCGAAGAACCUUACCAGGUCUUGACAUACCAUGAAAAGCUAAGAGAUUAGUCUUUCCCUUCGGGGACAUGGAUACAGGUGGUGCAUGGUUGUCGUCAGCUCGUGUCGUGAGAUGUUGGGUUAAGUCCCGCAACGAGCGCAACCCUUAUUAUCAGUUGCCAGCAUUCAGUUGGGCACUCUGGUGAGACUGCCGGUGACAAACCGGAGGAAGGUGGGGACGACGUCAAAUCAUCAUGCCCCUUAUGACCUGGGCUACACACGUGCUACAAUGGUCGGUACAACGUGCUGCGAACUCGCGAGGGUAAGCAAAUCACUUAAAACCGAUCUCAGUUCGGAUUGUAGGCUGCAACUCGCCUACAUGAAGCUGGAAUCGCUAGUAAUCGCGGACCAGCAUGCCGCGGUGAAUACGUUCCCGGGCCUUGUACACACCGCCCGUCACACCAUGAGAGUUUGUAACACCCAAAGUCGGUGGGGUAACCCUUCGGGGAACUAGCCGCCUAAGGUGGGACAAAUGAUUAGGGUG
rnacentral:rRNA from 1 species